rnacentral:rRNA from 1 species
AUUGAACGCUGGCGGCAUGCCUUACACAUGCAAGUCGAACGGCAGCACGGGUGCUUGCACCUGGUGGCGAGUGGCGAACGGGUGAGUAAUACAUCGGAACAUGUCCUGUAGUGGGGGAUAGCCCGGCGAAAGCCGGAUUAAUACCGCAUACGAUCUACGGCUGAAAGCGGGGGACCUUCGGGCCUCGCGCUAUCGGGUUGGCCGAUGGCUGAUUAGCUAGUUGGUGGGGUAAAGGCCUACCAAGGCGACGAUCAGUAGCUGGUCUGAGAGGACGACCAGCCACACUGGGACUGAGACACGGCCCAGACUCCUACGGGAGGCAGCAGUGGGGAAUUUUGGACAAAGGGCGAAAGCCUGAUCCAGCAAUGCCGCGUGUGUGAAGAAGGCCUUCGGGUUGUAAAGCACUUUUGUCCGGAAAGAAAUCCUUGGCCCUAAUACGGUCGGGGGAUGACGGUACCGGAAGAAUAAGCACCGGCUAACUACGUG